CAUUGCAUUAGUAUGUUCUGGGCACUGCGUCCCACUGCUCUUCAGCUGCACAGCUCUGCUCUGCUCUACCUGAGGCUGUCAUCUCCCAGUGAUUGGUAAGCCUCUCCAGCCUGAGUCACUGUGUGUCUUCAGAUUGUAAGAGCACGGAGUACUCUUUCCAACCUCUGUAAGCAGCUGCUUGGGGGAGGAGGAGAGACCUUGGAGAUGCCUGAUGUAAUGAAGCCCGCAGACAAGUGCUGCUUCUCAGAAACCCAAUGUCCUUGAGAACACGAUGCACUGCUUUUGUUUUAAGUGAUUCGGGAUGGGAGAGAACAGUCAUAGCAACAUUACCAGGAAAAACACAGAGAAUGGAACAUGAUGAAAAUAAGCAGAUUACAUUUGAUAAUGCCAUAUGGCUGAAUAAACCAGGCCUGAACUAGACAAGCAGGUCAGCGACCAGGAAAUGAUGGACCAGGCAUUUUGUUGUGGAAGAUUUCUCUCUUACAAAGUAUUGUCAAAACUGAAGAGAAUACAAAAUGAACAUAUCACGAUUUGUUUUCAGCAGUGGAAGACUUUUUUUGUUGUGGAAGACUUCUCUCUUCAUUGGAAUACACAGACAGUAUGAACAUUCAUCCAAUUCAAGACUGAUGACCAUAUUUGAUUUGACCAGAUUAAUUAAUGACACAUUACUAUUGAUUUAAUUCAUUUCCUGACCAAUAUCCCUCAACAACAGCUGAUGCAAAUUAAUUUAUCCAUCUAGAUUACUAUCACUCUUUUUUCAGGGCACACAACGAUUCCAACACCAUGAGGUCAUUGCACUCCUCUAUAACUGCACUCAGGAGAACUUACACAGCCGAGAAGGAAAAAAUAUAUAGUGUAGCCAUUCAUUUGCCAUCUUCAAAAAAGGGCAUCAGCGAUCUGUGAAAUCACUUUGUUCGUUUAAGAUGGUUGCACAUUCUGUCCAUUUAUGUCUGAUAAUGACUUAGAUUAUGUGCCUCUCCCUCUCUGCUUGCCUACUUUUGGCACUUGCAGUAAGUCAGACUGGAGCAUCCCCAUACCCCCACUUCCUGACGAAAACCUUGAACAGCCUCAGCCUCAUACUAAUCAAAAGAACAUAUUAAAGAAUGGGAAGUUCCAGUAAUUCCAGGCUCUGGGUAAGCGAGCCACAGUUUGUAUGCUGCGAUCCAUGAAAUAAUAUGUCAAUAGGAUAGCAGAAAACAUGUGAUGUCCCUCCCACCGAUUCAUUUUUUAUCAUCAGUCUUCAGUUCUGCCCAUGUGGUUUUAU
ensembl:lncRNA